AUUUUGCGCAGCCCCCCUUUUGGGGGGUCCCCAAAGCUCAGAUGCCAGAGAUGCCCAGGAUCCCACAUCCCCCCCACACCCACCCCGGAGCUGAAAGAACUGGAGACCAGGAGCAGAGAGAGAGAGACGCAAAAAACCUCAGAAUAAAAUCCAAUAUCGCAUCGUU